CCUUAGGAGGGUGUGGGGUGGGGAUGGGGGAGGGAGGUUAUUUGCAUCUCAACAAAGCUCUGCAGUUAGGAAUCCACAGUCCCAGCCAGACACCAAGCCCCCAGCGCUGCUCUAAGCUUUUCAGACUGGGUCAUCACUGCAGUGACUUGAUUCAGGAGGAAAGUUUAGGCUCAUCGAGUUUUUUUUUCUCACCCGGGAGCAAUCAUGGGCAUGGGAUGAGAGGGGGAGAGUGGGGUUGUUUUCUUUGUAAAAUUAAAAAGGUGGGGGUAGCGGUAAAUGAAAAUAUUUAUAGCUUCUCAGUAUCAGGAGGGAAAAUCCCUUUUUCUCCAUUUAGAAGAGACGAUCCAUAAAUUAGCACAGUCUGCAGAAUCAAAAAGCUGAAGCUGUCGGUUGUAUUCUGAUCUCAUUAAGAGGCUCUGGAUUCUGUAGCAAAUGUUAAAAUAAUACUGACAUGUAAAUGAGAUCUCAAAGUGAAAUGGAAAGACCCAGUUAGCAGAGCAUUUUUUUUUCCCCCUUAUAAAUAUCUUUAAUCCUUCCACUCUUUUGGGUAUUGACUGGGUGCCAAGUGGAUUUACAUAUGAUUACAAAGCGCAAAGUGUGAAUACAGCCAGCCAGCCAUCCUGUUAAAAAUCUGGGUUGAAAACCACACGGAUUUGCUGAACAACAAUUUCGCAUUGGAGAGGUAUCACCAACUGCUGCCUAAAAACAUCCCCAGGAUGCCGGGGUGUGGAAACCAAGCCAAGCCUGGCUUCUGAAACAAUGAUUCCACUGGUUAAAUCCCAGUUUCUCAUCCAUUCCAGUUCUGAACUGGGUGCAAGAUUUUGGGGGCUGCUUUACAUCAGAAAGGAGGAGGAGAGCCAGAGCCCUGACAAAGGGCAGAGGAAAAUCCCUGACACUGCUCUGCACAAAGGUUUCUAUUUCUAGUUACCUCCACUUAACAGUCACUACAGCCACAAAAGAAUGAACUGCUGUGACCGGGGAAAGCCUACAAUAAGAAGUUAACAGUAUGAAAGCAGACACCCCCUGAAGGUAGUCACUACACUGGUAACUAACUAUACAGAAGAUCAUGUCUUUGAAAAAAAAUGACUCAGCCUCCUCAAAGCUUUAUAACCUUUGGGGGAAAGAACAUGCCUAAAAGUACCAACAAAUGUCUCCUAUCUGUACCACCCUGAGACUGAGAGGUUUCAAACAGAUAACCUGACUCCGAAGGACUGUAAUCUCAUG